rnacentral:rRNA from 1 species
UUGUUCGCAAUGGGCGCAAGCCUGACGACGCAACGCCGCGUGGAGGAUGAAGACCUUCGGGUCGUAAACUCCUUUCGACCGAGAUGAAUACUGUCCGACCUAACACGUUGGAUGGCUGACAGUAUCGAGGGAAGAAGCCCCGGCUAACUCCGUGCCAGCAGCCGCGGUAAUACGGGGGGGGCAAGCGUUGUUCGGAAUUAUUGGGCGUAAAGGGUUCGUAGGCGGUCGACUAAGUCAGACGUGAAAUCCCACGGCUUAACCGUGGAACUGCGUCUGAUACUGGUUGGCUUGAGUGUAGGAGAGGAAUGCGGAAUUCCAGGUGUAGCGGUGAAAUGCGUAGAUAUCUGGAGGAACACCGGUGGCGAAGGCGGCAUUCUGACUACAACUGACGCGAGAACGC